CAGCAGCCGCGGUAACACAGAGGGUGCAAGCGUUAAUCGGAAUUACUGGGCGUAAAGCGCGCGUAGGUGGUUUGUUAAGUUGGAUGUGAAAGCCCCGGGCUCAACCUGGGAACUGCAUCCAAAACUGGCAAGCUAGAGUACGGUAGAGGGUGGUGGAAUUUCCUGUGUAGCGGUGAAAUGCGUAGAUAUAGGAAGGAACACCAGUGGCGAAGGCGACCACCUGGACUGAUACUGACACUGAGGUGCGAAAGCGUGGGGAGCAAACAGGAUUAGAUACCCCCGUAGUCCCUGUCUCUUAUAC
rnacentral:rRNA from 1 species